GAAUUUUAAUUUAAAGAAGACCAAAAUUGGUAGUGUCCCCAUGUCUGAUGGAAACAAACACAAAUUCUCCCAUGAAGAAUUUACAUUUAGGGCCUUGAAUAAUUUGCAUAUAGUUUUAAUGAGCAUAAAGUCACACACAUACAUAAACAUCAUGAAAAAUAUAGGGGAAUAAAGCACCAUUAGCAAGAGUCAGCAGAAACAAUAGAAAUAUUUAUAAAGAUUAUUAGAUUACUGGAACUAUCAGAUACAGAAUAUAAAGCUGUUUGAUAUGUUUACAUAAAUAAAUGAAAAAAAUUUUAAACAUAAUUAUAAUUCAUAACCACCAAAUGACAAUGCAUUUUUGAAAAACAACAAAAUAUAAUAAUUAAAAUUGAAAACUUAAUGGAGCUUUUGCUUUUUGGACAUAGCAAUAGCAAGCCAUUACUCCACCAUAACUUAGGAAGUAAGCACAUUGUAUAUAUUUUUUUCUUUGAAGACACUGGAGACCGAUGUAAGCAAUGACUUAGCUUAACUAAAAUUCUUAAGAAGGAAAAACAUUUCCUGAGUGAGCUGGCCUUAUUCUCUGAGGUCAUUUCUCAAACAUGAGAGCUGAGGACUGGGCCCUGCUAAAGGUACUGGCAUCUCUACUAGAGGAAAGAGAAUCCAACAGACAUUUUGACAGCCAUUGGGAUGGCAUGACGGAUUGGAAUCUAGAAAAACCCCCAAAUGCAUGGCCAGUUUGCCCUAUGGGGCAUUUGCUGAGUACUAGGGCAGCAUGGAAGGGUGGAAGGUGGGGCUAGGAAGGCGAGAAAGACAAGGUUAAACCUUUCAUAGUCUUUUUUUUUUUUUUUUUUUUUUGAGACAGGGUCUCACUCUGUCACCCAGGCUGGAGUGCUGUGGUGCAAUCACAACUCACUGCAGUCUCGACCUCCUGGGAUUAAGUGAUCCUCCAGGCUCAGCUUCCUGAGUAGCUGGGAUCACAGGCAUGCACCACUACGCCUGGUUAAUUUUUGUAUUUUUACAAGAGACAGGGUUUCACCAUAUUGCCCAGGCUGGCCUCUAACUUCUGGGCUCAAUCGGUUGGUCCACCUCAGCCUCCCAAAGUGCUGGGGUUACAGGUGUGAGCCACAGAGUCUGGCCCCUUUCAUAGUCUUGAUAUGCUUGGAAACAAAAUUCUGAGAAAGACAAGUCCACAAUAAACAUAUGGCAGGCCUCAUUCUGUAGACAUUUGAAACUACAGGGCACUGAAUCUAAUCAAGGUGGCUUCCUAGCCCUAGCCCAGUUCAAUUCCUAAUAAAGUGAUGAGUUCUCACCCUACUCAGCAGGGAAAGGACAAACUCUCUAUGGAGGAAAAUAUGACCAACUUCAGUCUUUAUGGUUCUUUAAAAAUAGAAUGUCUGCUGUACACUUAAAAAAAAUUAUGGAACAUGCAAGGAAGCAGAAAAAUGUAACUGACGAAGAGAAAAAAAAAAAACACAGAAGCAGACCCCACAGAUUAUUCAAAUGUAAAAGUAAUCAGACAAGGAUUUUAAAACAACUAUCAUGAAAAUUUAUGAAAGUAGAGGAAAAGAACAAAAUGUGUGAAAAGGGAGAAUUUUAAUAGAGAAUUGGAAUUUACUCAUCUGUUUUUGAGAUGGAGUCUUGCUCUGUUGCCCAGGCUGGAGAGCAGUGGUGCCAUCUCAGCUCACUGCAACUUCCGCCUCCUGGGUUCAAGUGAACCUCCUGCCUUAGCCUCAUGAGUAGCUGGGGCUACAGGUGUGUACCACCACACCCAGAUAAUUUUUGUAUUUUUAGUAGAGACGGUGUUUUGCCAUGUUGGCCAGGCUGGUCUCGAACUCCUGACCUCAGAUGAUCCGCCUGCCUCGGCCUCCAAGAAUUGGAAAUUAUGUAAAAGAAGCAAAUGAACAUUCCAGACACGAAAAGUACAAUACCUGAAAUUAAGAGCUCAUUUGAUGGAUUUAACAGCAGACUAUACCCUAAAUAUAGUAGGAUUUGUGAAUUUGAAAGAUACAUAGUAGAAAAUAAGGUAAACUAAGCUAAGCUAAACCGUUCUUACCAUAUGAUCCAGUAAUCAUACUCCUUAGUCUUUACUCAAAUGAGUUAAAAAAAACUUUUGUCCACAAAAAUAUGCACAAAUGUUUAUAGCAGCUUUGUUUAUAAUUGCCAGAACUGGAAGCAACUAAGAUGUCCUUCCAAAACUGGAAGCAACCAAGAUGUGAAUGAACAAAGUGUGAUACAUCUGUACAAUGGAGUAUUAUUUAGUGAUAAAGGAAAUGAGCUAUCAAACCUUAAAAAGCCAUGAAUCUUAAAUGCAUACUGCUAAGUGAAAGCUGCUUGUCUGAAAAGGCUACAUACUGUGUGAUUCCAAGUAUCUAAGACUCUGGAAAAAGCAAAGCAGUAGAGACAGUCAAAAGAUCAGUGGCUGCCAGAGGAUUGGGGAUGGAGGAAAAGAGAGGGAUGAAUGGGUGGAGCACAGGGGAGUAAAACUAUUCUGACAUUAAAAUGGCAGAUAUAUAAAUGCAUUUGCUAAAACCCAUAGAAAAGCAUGGCACCUAAUGUAAACUGUACUCAGUUGUUAACAGUGUAACCAUAUGAGUUCAUCAGUGGUAACAAAUACAAGAUAAUAGUGAAAACUCUACGGGUAGGGAAUUCUGUACUUGCUGCUCAAUUUUUUCUGUAAACCUAAAACUGCUCUAAAAUGCAGUACAAUUUACUAAUUUGUUUUAAAAAACAGUUAAUAGAAACUAUCUAAACCAAAGCAUAGAGAGGAAAAAAGAAAACCAUGGAGGCUUCUGGCAGUAUAGCUAAAAAAUCCUAGAUUCCAGCUAAAUUAGAAUAAGUAUGAAGAGUGGCCACAAAUACCCUAGGUAUGCUAGUGAGAAAUUAUCUGUAUUUCUCCUCUGUUCUCUGUAGAAAUUUAAAUUUUCCCCAUGCUGUUUUAUCAUCUACCUCAUAUCAUACUGAAUCCCUACCUAGAAAAAUGUAAAACACAUAAUUAGCUCAGGAGCCAAACUCCUGCAUAAUUAAUCUGUUACCACCCUAUACAUUUUAAUGCAAGGCUGAAUUCACAAGAUAUAAAUGAAAUUCUCCAAGGACAAGAAAUCAAAACAAAAGGGAAAAAACCCUGAAGUCAGAACUAGAGGCAGUGAGCAGUAAAAGAAUAGGAAAUCAGGGGUUGCCCCUUGGGGAUAAUGGCAAAACCCACUGAAAUCACUAGAAGGUAAGAGAACCAAGCCUGAGAUUCCUGCACUGGGGUUAGAGCAGUGCCAGCCUGGUAGCAGCUCCAGGUUGGUGAAAGCAACAAAAGAAAGCCAAUAUCUGAAGAAGAGCAUCCCAGUUUAGCCCUCAGAAUUAGCUUCCCCAGAUUAAAAUUAAACAAACAGGACUUCAAAAUAAAAACGCCAGCCUGGUGCAGUGGCUCACACCUAUAAUCCCAGCACUUUGGGAUGCCAAGGCAGGCGGAUUGCUUGAGCCCAGAAGCUCGAAACCAGCCAUGGGCAACAUAACAAGACCCCGUCUCAAAGGAAAUACAAAAAUUAGUCAGGCAUGGUGGCACCCACCUGUAGUCCCAGCUACUUAGGAGGCUGAGGUGGAAGGACUGCUUGAGCCUAAAAGCUCAAGGCUGCAGUGAGCCAUGAUUGUGCCACUGCACUCAGGCCUGGGCAACAUAGCGUGACCCUGUCUCAAAAAGUGGAAAUACCAAACAAAGAAGAAAAGUAAAGCACUUUGAGUGAGAAAGUGCCACCAGAAAUACAAACAAUGGGUUUAGACUCCUAAGAAUUUAAGAUAUUGGUAUUAUCAGAUAUGGACCAUAAAAUACCAAUGUAGUACACAGUUACGUAAACUUUUAGCACUGAAUUUUAAAAAUGAGCAAGUAAUAAAAAACUAUUAGGACUGACCAGGCAGGUUUAAAUGAGAGCCAAACAGAUUCUUUCCCCCGGGCUCCCAAAAGACAGGGUCUUGCUCUGUUGCCCAGGCUGGAGUGCAGUGGUGCGAUCAUAGCUCACUGCAGCCUCAACCUCCUGGGCUCAAGGGAUCCUCCUGCCUUAGCCUCCCAAGUAGCUAUGACUAUAGGUGAGCGCCACCAUGUCUGGUCAAUUUUUAAAUUUUUUGAAGAGAUGGGGGGGUCUUACUUUGUUGCCCAGGCUGGUCUUGAACACCUCGCCUCAAGGAAUCUUCCCACCUUGGCCUCUCAAAGAGCUGGGAUUACAGGCAUGAGCCACUGUGCCUGGCCCCAAAUAGAACUUUUUAAAAUGAAAAACAUUUUAAAUUAAAAUUAUAGUGAAUGGUUUUAACAGCAGAAAAGGUGUGAAAAAUUAUAGAAAUGCAAUAUAGAUGUGAAGAAAUGAUGCAGCAUGCAGCUCAGGGAGAGAAGGGUGGAAAGUAUAAAUGUGAGAUUAAAAGGGAAUGGGCCAGGCUCGGUGGCUGACGCCUGUAAUCCCAGCAUGAUUUUGGAGGCCGAGGUGGGUGGAUCAUUUGAGGUCAGGAGUUUGAGACCAGCCUGGCCAACAUGGCAAAACCCCGUCUCUACUAAAAGUACAACAAAGCCCAGCAUGGUGGCACACAUCUGUAAUCCCAGCUACUCGGGAGGCUGAGGCAGCAGAAUCGCUUGAACCCGGGAGGUGGAGGUUGCAGUGAGCCGAGAUUGCGCCACUGCACUCCAGCCUCGGUGACAGAGCGAGACUCCAUCUCAAAAUAAUAAUAAUAAUAAUAAUAAUAAUAAUAAUAGUAAUAAUAAUAAUAAAAUCAGAGGUUAGAAUAUUGGCCUACAAUAGCAUGUAAGUAGGGAAGGGGUUGAUCAGACUUAUGAUGUUCCAAAGUCCAUUAUAAGUAAAGAACGGGUUAUGAUACCAGAUAACUUUAGAUUGUAUUGAGUAUGCAUUGAAAAAGUUCAGGAGUAAACACAAGAAAAAUAUAAAUAGAAUGUAAA
rnacentral:lncRNA from 1 species